rnacentral:rRNA from 1 species
GGUGAGUAACACGUAUCCAACCUGCCGUCUACUCUUGGACAGCCUUCUGAAAGGAAGAUUAAUACAAGAUGGCAUCAUGAGUCCACAUGUUCACAUGAUUAAAGGUAUUCCGGUAGACGAUGGGGAUGCGUUCCAUUAGAUAGUAGGCGGGGUAACGGCCCACCUAGUCUUCGAUGGAUAGGGGUUCUGAGAGGAAGGUCCCCCACAUUGGAACUGAGACACGGUCCAAACUCCUACGGGAGGCAGCAGUGAGGAAUAUUGGUCAAUGGGCGAGAGCCUGAACCAGCCAAGUAGCGUGAAGGAUGACUGCCCUAUGGGUUGUAAACUUCUUUUAUAAAGGAAUAAAGUCGGGUAUGCAUACCCGUUUGCAUGUACUUUAUGAAUAAGGAUCGGCUAACUCCGUGCCAGCAGCCGCGGUAAUACGGAGGAUCCGAGCGUUAUCCGGAUUUAUUGGGUUUAAAGGGAGCGUAGAUGGAUGUUUAAGUCAGUUGUGAAAGUUUGCGGCUCAACCGUAAAAUUGCAGUUGAUACUGGAUAUCUUGAGUGCAGUUGAGGCAGGCGGAAUUCGUGGUGUAGCGGUGAAAUGCUUAGAUAUCACGAAGAACUCCGAUUGCGAAGGCAGCCUGC